UACAGAGGUGGCAAGCGUUGUUCGGAAUUACUGGGCGUAAAGGGCUCGUAGGCGGCCAACUAAGUCAGACGUGAAAUCCCUCGGCUUAACCGGGGAACUGCGUCUGAUACUGGAUGGCUUGAAUCCGGGAGAGGGAUGCGGAAUUCCAGGUGUAGCGGAUGAAAUGCGUAGAUAUCUGGAGGAACACCGGUGGCGAAGGCG
rnacentral:rRNA from 1 species